rnacentral:lncRNA from 1 species
CGGGUGUCCGCCACCACACCCAGCUAAUCUGCGUACUUUUCGUAGAGAGGGAAUUUCACCAUGUUGUCCAGAAUGGUCUCCUUCUCUUGACCUCGUGAUCCGCCCGCCUCGGCCACCGAAGUGCUGGGAUUACGGGUGUGAGCCACCGCGCCCGGCCGUCACCACAAGCUUUACCUGUUUACUGAACGAAAGAUAUGCUUCUUUCUUCCAAAAUUCAUAGGUUGCUGAGAAUAAAGCAAAAUCAAAGGAUUCUUCUGAGAUCCAGAAACCCAGGGAUGGUAAAGCCUCCAGAUUCA